AUGUUGAACAGGGAAUUUGGCUUCAGGAUAAACUCUUGCUCGUUGGAAAUAAUCGUUGGUGGCGACAAUUCGGAGGAAACUGCAAGACAGUGUUCUAAACAUUAGUGGGCCUGCCAAAAAAAAUAAGGAAAAACAUCUACAUUAUGAAUUCUACUGUGCUGUAAACUUACCUGUAGCCACCAAGAUAACCCCAAAGACGACAUACAUCCUCACCCCAUCCAUGAUUAUGGAUGUUCUGGCCUAUAAAGACAAAAAAGUCUGACUGAGAUACAACAUAGCUGGCCUAAACACACGUUGACACUGGACACAGGCUGUCUGUUAGUCACAGAGUGAUGAGCCCUUUGAAGAUGACUGUGGUGGCCUUCGGGCGGCGGUCCCCGCUGGAGCUGUCCAGCGUGCUGAAAUGUGUCUUAAGUCUGAGCAGUGAUCGCCUCUCAACCAACUGACUUAAUUUGUCCAUGUAAUGAAUUCAUAGAUCGAUAGAUAAACAAAUAAAUACAAUUAUCCUACCUUUAUUUUA